rnacentral:rRNA from 1 species
CGGAGGCAUAAGAAACUAACAAGGAUUCCCCUAGUAACGGCGAGUGAAGCGGGAUGAGCUCAAGCUUAAAAUCUCCGUGCAAUUUUUGCAUGGCGAAUUGUAGCCUAUAGAAGCGUGGUCAGUAUGAGUACUUGAAGAAAGUUCCUUGGAAUAGGACAGCAUGGAGGGUGAUACUCCCGUUCGUCUUUAAGUUGCUUGUGCGUACGACCCGUUUUCUUUGAGUCGCGUUGUUUGAGAAUGCAGCGCAAAGUAGGUGGUAAAUUCCAUCUAAAGCUAAAUAUUGGUGCGAGACCGAUAGCAUACAAGUACCGUGAGGGAAAGAUGAAAAGAACUUUGAAAAUAGAGUUAAAGAGUACCUGAAACUGCUGAAAGGUAACCAGAUCGUUUCCAGUGUCUAUAAUCUGUGGUAUAUUACAUCGGCGAGUGUGUGCGUGCGUGUGCUUUUGCAGUAGCCUUUUGGUUGCGCUUGGUGCGUGUGUUGCGUGUGCUUGUUGGUGCACUGUGCUGCGGUGGGACGUCAAGGUCAGUUCGUAUGCUGCGGGAAAUGGCAACUGAGGAGGUAGGGUUUACGCUUGCGUUUGCCUAUUAUAUCUUGGUAGCUGAGUAGUUGCGGUUGGGACUGAGGUGCCUACAACGUGCUUUUGAGUGGGCUUGUGUCUCUGUGUGCGCUGUGUGCGAAUAGCUUGCUAUGCGUGUGUGGCUGCGUGUGGAUUGAUGCGAGUCGUAACUUGUAGUCGUUCGGGACGUUG